rnacentral:rRNA from 1 species
UACGUACGGUGCAAGCGUUGUCCGGAAUUAUUGGGCGUAAAGAGCUCGUAGGCGGUCUGUCGCGUCGGAUGUGGAAACCCAGGGCUCAACCCUGGGCCUGCAUUCGAUACGGGCAGACUAGAGUUCGGUAGGGGAGACUGGAAUUCCUGGUGUAGCGGUGAAAUGCGCAGAUAUCAGGAGGAACACCGGUGGCGAAGGCGGGUCUCUGGGCCGAAACUGACGCUGAGGAGCGAAAGCGUGGGGAGCAAACAGG